AGUGAACGCUGGCGGUAGGCCUAACACAUGCAAGUCGAACGGCAGCACAGGGGAGCUUGCUCUCUGGGUGGCGAGUGGCGGACGUGUGAGGAAUACAUCGGAAUCUACUUUUUCGUGGGGGAUAACGUAGGGAAACUUACGCUAAUACCGCAUACGACCUACGGGUGAAAGCAGGGGAUCUUCGGACCUUGCGCGAUUGAAUGAGCCGAUGUCGGAUUAGCUAGUUGGCGGGGUAAAGGCCCACCAAGGCGACGAUCCGUAGCUGGUCUGAGAGGAUGAUCAGCCACACUGGAACUGAGACACGGUCCAGACUCCUACGGGAGGCAGCAGUGGGGAAUAUUGGACAAUGGGCGCAAGCCUGAUCCAGCCAUACCGCGUGGGUGAAGAAGGCCUUCGGGUUGUAAAGCCCUUUUGUUGGGAAAGAAAUCCAGCUGGUUAAUACCCGGUUGGGAUGACGGUACCCAAAGAAUAAGCACCGGCUAACUUCGUGCCAGCCGCCGCGGUAA
rnacentral:rRNA from 1 species